GCCAGGUGUGGUGGCACAUGUCUGUAAUCCCAGCUACUUUGGAGGCUGAGGCAGUAGUAUCUUGAAUUCAAGGACUGCCUCAG
rnacentral:sRNA from 1 species